AUUGAACGCUGGCGGCAGGCCUAACACAUGCAAGUCGAACGGUAACAGGAAGACGCUUGCUUCUUUGCUGACGAGUGGCGGACGGGUGAGUAAUGUCUGGGAAACUGCCUGAUGGAGGGGGAUAACUACUGGAAACGGUAGCUAAUACCGCAUAACGUCGCAAGACCAAAGAGGGGGACCUUCGGGCCUCUUGCCAUCGGAUGUGCCCAGAUGGGAUUAGCUAGUAGGUGGGGUAACGGCUCACCUAGGCGACUAUCCCUAGCUGGUCUGAGAGGAUGACCAGCCACACUGGAACUGAGACACGGUCCAGACUCCUACGGGAGGCAGCAGUGGGGAAUAUUGCACAAUGGGCGCAAGCCUGAUGCAGCCAUGCCGCGUGUAUGAAGAAGGCCUUCGGGUUGGAAAGUACUUUCAGCGGGGAGGAAGGGAGUAAAGUUAAUACCUUUGCUCAUUGACGGUACCCGCAGAAGAAGCACCGGCUAACUCCGUG
rnacentral:rRNA from 1 species